rnacentral:rRNA from 1 species
UACGUAGGUGGCAAGCGUUGUCCGGAUUUACUGGGCGUAAAGGGCGUGCAGGCGGUUUGUUAAGUGCAGAGUGAAAGCUCCCGGCUCAACUGGGAGAGGUCUUUGCAUACUGGCAAACUCGAGGGAGGCAGAGGAAAGUGGAAUUCCCGGUGUAGUGGUGAUAUGCGUAGAUAUCGGGAGGAACACCUGUGGCGAAGGCGGCUUUCUGGGCCUUACCUGACGCUGAGGCGCGAAAGCGUGGGUAGCAAACAGG